UUUACCUCGGCUGCGACCUUUUGCGUGGCCACGACUACGAGUUGUAACCGGUUUCGAAGCAACUGCACGAUGCUUUUCCACAAGCGCCAUGAAAGCUGGAGUACAAAAGACGCAACCAGUCAUUUCCGUACUUUCAUUAGGUGCAGCUGAAGGAUCAAGGACGAGUAUACCAGCAUUACAUUCUAGACAACUCGAUAUACCAUUAGAAUUCAUGCCAUGUGGACAGGUCGGAUGUGUACAAGAAUUGCAACCACUUAUUCCUUUUUUCAUAUCUCUAAAAUUUAUAAUUUUUUUUUAUAAUUAAGAUUUUUAUGUUUUAUGUUUUAAAAUUGAAUACAUUCAUAUGAUUCAGAAUUACCUAAAUGGAGGAUUAUUGUAACAAUAUGGACAGAAUGUGAAACUUUUUCCUCGUGCUCCAGUAGACCAUGAUAAUAAUUCGAAAUCAUCUAAUGGACAUUUCAAUUCCUUAUAAAUUCGAAUAUUUCCAUUCUGUGGAAGAUUAUACGUUUCGUUACAGUGUGCGCAAUGCAUUCUAGAUGGCUUUGUUUGUAUAUAUUUCAUGUAGCGUCGACAUUUUCCACAUCUAUAUAAAAAAUAUUAUCAAUAAAAAAUAAAUAUUUAUAAAUAAGAUAAAUAUUUAAAAUAA